UCUCCGUUGGUGAACCAGCGGAGGGAUCAUUACCGAGUUUGCAACUCCCAAACCCAAUGUGAACCAUACCAAACUGUUGCCUCGGCGGGGUCACGCCCCGGGUGCGUCGCAGCCCCGGAGCCAGGCGCCCGCCGGAGGGACCAACCAAACUCUUUCUGUAGUCCCCUCGCGGACGUUAUUUUUACAGCUCUGAGCAAAAAUUCAGAAUGAAUCAAAACUUUCAACAACGGAUCUCUUGGUUCUGGCAUCGAUGAGGAACGCAGC
rnacentral:misc_RNA from 1 species